GAAUAAUGUGACCCCUAUGUGAUUUAUUUAGGUGAUCAAGAAUUUGUCACCCGGACGUAAGAAAUUGGAAAGCAAAUUGCUAUGAAUAAAACUACUAGGAGCAGGGAGCUUGGUGUUAUUCAGGGUUGGGGUAACUGAAAAUAUUAUGUAAUAAUUAAAUUUUAGAAGCUCUGUACUGUUCCAACUUCACGAACAAUGUUAUGACAUUAGUAAAUGAAACUAUUUAUUUU